GACUAAUGGAAACCGGUGUGCACUGUUUGUUUGGUGAGUAACUCCUCCUAUGUUGCCAAUAUAUUUGUGUUGUAUAUGUUUGUAUAUUGAUCUUGAGGAAGACCUGAAGAGGUCGAAACGUCGAUCAGAUGUAUGUUACCUGUUAUUAAAUAAUAUCGAGUUUUUUUACAAAGACCUGAGAGUGCAUCUCUUUCCUUUUUGCUAUAUAUAUAUAUAUAUAUACAUAUAUUAAUUCAACAUAUAUAUUUAUGUAAUAUUUUUACAUAAUUAGGUAUCUUAAUUAAUUAUAAUUAGCGGGACCUACCUGACAACCCAUGACGAAAGUGAAGGGAAUUUAAUUUGCUAGCACUAUAUUUAACCCUAUAACUUUCCAAGACACCAUAAAACCUGUACAUGGGGGGUACUGUUCUACUCGGGAGACUUCGCUGAACACAAAUAUUAGUGUUUCAAAACAGUAAAAUAUAUUACAACGAUGAUAUCGCCAGUAAAAGUGAAGUUUUUCGCAUUUUUUACGCACAAACAGCACUUACACGGACGAUAUUAUUGCUCCGAUACUUUUUACUGUUUUGAAACACAAAUAUUUGUGUUCAGUGAAGUCUCCCGAGUACAACAGUAACCCGCAUGUACAGGUUUUAUGGUGUUUUCAAAAGUUACAGGGUCAAAUAUAAGGCUUGUGUUUCAUUUUUUUCACAUUAAAAUUCGCCAGAUUGGUUAGGUUGCCUUUGAGACCCUAUGGUAGCCCAAGAAUGAAAAUUACCCCUAUGAUGGCAUACCAUUUUCAAAAGACGACAACCCAAGGUAUUGCAAACGGGGUAUGUCCAGUCUUUUUUAGUAGCCACUUAGUCACAAACACUGGCCAAAAUUGGCGUUUUUUGCAUUUUUCACACACAAACAAAUACUAACGCUAACUUUGGCCAGUGUUUGUGACCAAAUGGCUACUAAAAAAGACUGGACAUACCCCAUUUGCAAUACCUUGGGUUGUCUACUAUUGCAAAUGGUAUGUCAUUAUGGGUGUAAAUUUCAUUCCUGGGCUACUAUAAAGUCCCAAAGGCAACGUAACCAAUCUGGCGAAUUUCAAUUUCAAAUGUAACGUGCUAUAUUUGACCCUGUAACUUCCCAAAAUGCCAUAAAACCUGUACAUAGGGGGUACUGUUUUACACGUGAGACUUUGCUGAAUACAAAUAUGUGUAUUUUAUUGCAGUAAAAGCAAACAGUAUUAUGACAUUGACAGUUAAAAUGUCAUGUAGAACUAAUAAAAUAAAAAAAAUCUUAUUUUCUCCCAUUUUUUUCAUAUUAAAUUAUGUUUCACAGCUAAAUAUUUGAUAUUAAAUGAAAGCCCUGUUUCCCCUGAAUAAAAUUAUAUAUAAUAAGGGUGGGUGUAUUAAAUAUGAAAGAGGUGAAUUACGGUUGGACAUACAUGUAGCGCAAAUGCCAGGUUUUGUUUACAUUUUGUUUUGUUCACAACAUGUACAUUUGGCUCCGUCCUUAAGGGGUUAAAAAGAAGGUUCUUGAAAUCUUGUUUACUAAAGUUGAUACACAUCAGAUACAUCUAAAACAGACACAGAACUGCUAUUGUGCUAGGAUUUUUUUAUGCAAAUUCCUUUCCAAGGCUAUAUAUUUAUUAAACACAGACACAAUAAAAUAGACCCACUUGCAGAGACCAAAAUAAAAAUAAUUUAAAAAACAAACAAAUAAAAAACAGAUAAUUAAAAAUGAAGAAUAUUGAAAAAAAAUGCAUAGAGAAAAAAAUAUUUAAAAAAGUAAAAAUAAAACUAUAUUGUUUUUAUUGUGAAAAGCACAAAAUGUGACAGACGAGGUGAUGUUCGCAUAUACACAUGUAUAGAAAAGUGCUUUGCUCUUCAGCGUAGCUUUUAUGUUGCUCCUAUGUGAAUCUGGCAGCCAUGUUUUUGGUGCUCCACUAAGCUGAUCAUUGUGAAUUUUGCGCGGUUGUAGUUAGGGUAUAUAAAGAGGUGGGGAGUAAAGGAUGUUUAUGCAACCCUCCUUGAGAAAGUCCACAGGACGAAACCGAUCAGAGAUUUUCUUUUCUGCACUACAUGCCAAACUCCUGCAACAUCGAGCAGUACUGAACAGACAAACCUGUGUUCAGAUAUAGAUCUUUUGGGUUCUAGCCAGGACGGCAUCCAGACUGAUCUUCAGCUCAGGGGUUCAUUUGUUGCUGCCUCAGCUGGAGGGGUCUUUUUGGACCAUAAGGCUGUCUUAGUGCUGUUUUGUUUACCUCUACUGUAUGUUUUGUUAGUGCUAUGUGAAUGUUUUGUUAGUGCUAUGUGAAUUUCUCUUAUUUGUUAAGUGCCCUCAAAUUUGAAGAUUUACUAGAAUGCAUAGUCAGUGUAUUCCAUACGGAAGAUCAUUAUAUGAAGAUUCAUUAUAGAGCAAUAGUUUUGUUUAUAUUGCACUUACUUCAAUCCCACACCACUAUUUCUGCAUGUAGUGUAUUUAAGGUGUUUUAGAGUUACUCUUUGGUGCUGGUGAUCGCAUCUUUAUUUCUAUAUAUUGCUAAUUUUAGUUUUCUUGUUGUAAAUCAAUUUUAAAGUGUUUGUGACAAUUUAUUACACCUUUUGAGGAUUUGGUUAACUUAUUCCAAUGGUGAGGAGUGAAGGGCAAGGUGACAGGCAACUCUCUCUCCAACUGGGACUGACCAUUAGUAUGCCCACAAGUUCACCUACAUGCCCCACCCAUGAGUUGGCUCACAGGAAGUGGAAGGGGAUGUGUUAUGUGUUAUUGUAGAGGAUGUACUGUUUGUGUGUGUGCUCAUGGAAUGUAGUGUAGGGGAUGUGUUAUGUCUUAUUGUAGAGGAUGUAAUGUGUGUGUGUGUGUGCUCAUGGAAUGUAGUGUAGGGGAUGUGUUAUGUGUUAUUGUAGAGGAUGUAAUGUGUGUGUGUGUGUGUGUGUGUGCUCAUGGAAUGUAGUGUAUAGAGAUACCAAUUUGUGUAGGAAAUGCAGUGUGUGUUGUGGAUGCAGUGUGUUUGUGUGUAAGUGAUAGAAAGUGGUGUGUAUUUGUGUGUAAGGGAUGCAUUGUGUGAAUCUAUGUUUGUAUGUGUAAGGGAUGCAAGGUGUGUUUCUGUAUGUGUAAGUGAUGCAUUGUGUGUUUCUGUGUUUGUAUGUUUAAAGGACCACAAUAGUGCCGGGAAAACAAACUCGUUUUCCUGGCACUAUAGGGUCUUUAGGUCCCCCCCACCCUCAGGAUUCCACUCUCGGCGGGCUGAAGAGGGAGGAAGGGGUUAAACUCUUACCUUUCUCGGCGCUGGGGAAUUCUCCUCCCUCUUCCGACGCCAGCGCGCACAUUCAAUCAGUCCAUAGGAAAGCUUUUCUCAAUGCUUUCCUAUGGACGUCAGUGUCUUCUCACUGUGAUUUUCACAGUGAGAAGCACGGAAGCGCCUCUAAUGGUUGUCAAUGAGACAGCCACUAGAGGCUGGAUUAACCCUAUUGUAAACAUAGCAGUUUCUUUGAAACUGCUAUGUUUACAGCGGCAGGCUUAACCCUAGAUAGACCUGGCACCCAGACCACUUAAUUGAGCUGAAGUGGUCUGGGUGCCUAUAGUGGUCCUUUAAGGGAUGCGUUGAGUGUGUGUAAGAGAUGCAUUGUGUUUGUGUGUAAGAGUAAGAGUAAGAGAAGCAGUUUGUGUGUGUGUGUGUGUGUGUGUGUAAGGGAUGCAUUGUGUGUUUCUGUGUGUGAGUAAGAUGCAUUGUAUGUUUCUGUGCGUGUGUCUGUGUGUAGGGAUGCAUUGUCUGUUUCUGUUUGUAUAUGUGUGUGUAUAGGGAUGCAUUAUGUGUUUGUUUGUGAGUGUGUGUGUAGGGAUGCAUUGGGUGUUUGUGUGUGCAGGGAUGCAUUUGGUGUUUCUGUGUGUGUGCGUGUAGGGAUUGUGUGUUUCUGUGUGUGUAGGCAUGCAUUGUGUGUUUCUGUGCGUGUAGGGAUGCAUUGUGUGUUUCUGUGCGUGUGUAGUGUGAAAGAGAGAGUUUGUGGGGUGGGACAGGGGCUGAGUCUUGACGGGGCUUAUUAUAAUAUUUAUUAAACUUUUUUUUUUUCUUUUUUUUUGAUUUGUGUCUUACAACCCUCUUUAGUGUAUCUCUUAAAAGCCCCUUGCGUGUCUCUUAUCCCCUCUCUUUGUAUGUCUCCUACAUCCUCCAAACCCCUUUGUGUAUCUUACUCCCCCCGGCCCCUUUCUGUCUUUUACUCUUCCCAGCCCCUUGUGUGUGUCUCUUUCACGCCCAGACCCCUUUGUGUGUCUCCCUUAUGAGCAACUCUUGCCCCUCUCUCAGCCUCUCUGUGUGGCUUUUCCACUCCCCCUCUCCCUUACGAUCUCACUCCAACGCCCCCACCCCUUAGUGGUCACCUCUCCUCCCCCUAUCCCAUAGUGGUCUCCUCUUCCCCCUGUCCCAUAGUGCACUCCUGUCCUCUCCCUUAGCGCUCUCCCCUCCUGUCCCUUUGUACUCUGCCAUCCUGUCCCUUAGUGCUCUCCCUUCCUGUCUCUUUGAGCUCUCCCCCACCUCACUGUGACCUCCCCUGCCCCACUGUCCCUCAGUGCUCUCCCCUCCCUUAGUGCUCUCAGCUACCCCCUGUCCCUUGGUGCUCUCCCCUCCCUUCGGGCUCUCCCCUCCUGUCCCUUUGUGCUCUCCCUUCCUGUCCCUUAGUGCUCUCCCCUCCUGUCCAUUAGAGCUCUGACUGACAAGGACACAUGCCAGGACUGUCGUGGGAGGGAGAAUUACCCAGGAUAGUCUCUAACUUGCCAGGACUGUCCCGGCAAAAAUAAGUCUGUGUUAUCAAUGUCAUUAUGCAGCUCCAAGCCCAUGGAAUAGGCUCAUAGACCUAAAAGAAUCUUCACUUCUUACAUGCUCCUUCUCUAUGAUGUUGUAGAGAGCAGUGUUAAGUUUAAAUUUCAAUAUCGUUUUAGUCAUAGUCUUUUGACUAAAAAGCCAUUUUAGUUUUAGUCGUAUUUUAGUCAUCUGAAUUGAUUUAGUUUUAGUCUAGUUUCAGUAGACUAAAAUUGUUAGUCAACAAAAGUAACACUGGUAGCGAGUUAACUAAGUAUGGAAAUGUAGGAGGGAUGCAGGUGAACAAAGCUUGUCUGAAAUGGCUAGCUAUAAAAUUGUUCACUUAAAGCUGACUUUGUGCACUCUACAAAUGAUGUUGCUGCUGCUAUUUCUCUAACAGCCCAAUAUCUUCCUGCCAUCAUGUAGCAGUGUGGCAUGCCCCCUUUCUGCUACACUCACUACAUCCACCUCUUCUCUGUCCCAAGCUGAAUAGCAGGUGCCAACUUCAGUCAGCUGGUAAGAAGGGAAGGAGAGGAGUGGAAAAUGAGUCCUGAGCAGAGACAAUUCAGAAUUUGUGAUUAGCAAGACGGAUUGAGAGCUGUGAGGCUUGUAAGGUGGACAGAUAGAGUGAGAGAUGAAAGCGAGAGCUUGAUUAGGGCACGGGUAUUCUUAAAAAUGCAUCCUGCAAGUGUCCCUCCACCACCAAAUACAACACACCCAGGACGUAUGGCUGUUAUAAUGCUCUAUGAGAAAGAUUCUGUAAUAAGGCCUGUUAUCAUAACGCCAGGCUGAAUAAGCUCUUAAUCCAGCCCUGGAUCAUCCAUCAGGAGUGUGAUUACCUUUCAGAAUGGAAUUAGUGGACAAUUAAUUAUCAUUACUGGGAUUUACAUAGGCACCAUAUAUGCAGCAUAUUCCCAAACAAUGAAUGACAGAAUUAAUCAACCAUUGAUCUAUCACUGCUCUGUCAUUGUAAGGACAUGAAGGGAUGCUGCCCUGUGACAGCACUGUCCCUUUAAAUGUGGGAACCAACUUAGCAGAAAAAUAAUGCAAGGACACGAUGAAUGGAGCAAUCAAGAAAAUAUGUAUUAAAGAAAACCAAAGGAUAUAAUAUACAAAAAAACUAAAUAUGUACAAUGCCACAAAUAUAUAUAUAUAUACACAAGAAAUCAAUAUAAAUACAAAUAGAGUAGGCAGAGUACACGUAAAUAGGCCUAAUGCAAAAUGUAAAUAGUUAAGGCAGGAUCGUGCAGCCACCACAGAAUAUAGGUGUCACAACUACUAGUGUGGUCAAGCACGCAGAAACUAUGUAAACAUAUACAUAGGCUAGAAAAGGAAAAUAAAAAGGACAGAGCGUAAACCGGACCUUAGAAUGGCCGGACUAAUACGCUAGAGACAGAGAAUGGUCAAAGGGAAAGCCGAGGUCAAGGAAGCCAGAAAAUACACAAUACCGUUUACUCAAGCCAAGUCAGGGGAACCAGAAUUCAGAAUAACCAGGGAAAAGCCAAGAUCAGGAUACCAGGAAAUCAGAUUCACAAAGAUAAAGCACUCUCAGGAAACCAGGAACAGGAAACCACGACAGGGCAAGGUAAUGGGGUGAGCUAGGGAUUUAAAUAGGUCUGAUUGGUCAGAGGGCGACCUCUGACCCCAAAACGUGCGUGCGCAUUGACAUCGCGACGUCACACGCACGUCAGUACAAACUUCGGGGUGGAGCUAUUUUUAGGCGCGACCAUGUGGUCAGCGCCAUUUUGCAUCCGGGCGCGAGGGCCGGAGGAUGCGGGGAAGCAGCUGUCGGCUUGCCAACGAGCAGGUAAGCUCGUUCUGUCGGCGAGGCUGUGCCGGUCGGGCACAGCCUUGCCACAAGGCGGGUCGGCAGCCGCGACAAUAGGUGGGACACAGAUACAAAGUACACUUGAUAGUCCUUAGGUAAAAGUAAAGUCUUUAGGCAGGAUCGUGCAGCCACCACAGAAUAAGUGGGGCACGGAUCCUAAACCACCAAACAUUAAAUAAAAAACACCAAGGAGCAAAGCCCAAAGCAGGUCACACGUAAAUAAGGCAGCAAAGUCAGAAUCACUGGAAAUGAAGUAUAGGCAGGAACACUGCAAGCGAACACUGUAAUGGGAGGCACAGGACACAGGACCACACAGAGACGAGAACACAGGACCAUAAGGACAUCGGAACAGGAACACAGGAUCAGGAUACACAGGAUACAAGACACAGGAGCAAGGAGUCAGAAUCACGGGAACCAGGAAACAGCAGGUACAGGAUAAAGGAUAAUGAUCUGCCAGGGAGUGAGGGGAGAAACCAGAAUAUAUAGGUGCUAAACAAGGGCCAGGUGUAGUGCUUAACGAAAAGAAAUGAGAAACAGUGCCAAACAGAAACAGUGGUGAGUGUGAGUACUGCACGAGGGCAUAUUAACUAAGGAGUGUCAUAACAGUACUCCCCCCCCCUUAAGGAGCGACUCCUGGCGCUCCAAACCUCCAAGACCCCCUACAGGUGACAGAAGAGAACCCGGGUCACCCAACCAAGUGAGGAAAACAAGGAGUAGGCUUAGGAGGAAUGACAAAUGGAAAGUCCCAAGGAAGAAACCAACUAGGCAGAGUAGGAGCAUAGAAAAAUAAGGACCAUAGAGAAUCAUGAUACACCAGGAGGGUAGACACGUAAACAGAAAUCAAGGAUACAUACGAUAAGGAACUCUCAUUACCAGUGAUUGACAAACGUGUCAUCCUACUAGACCUGGGGCUAUCGCUAGAAACAGGAGCAUCACUCAGAGGUCCUGGGCCUGACUUGGUUUCAGGCUUGUUAGUUCCUCGGAAUAAAGGCCGCGGUGCAACUCUUGUAGAAGGGAGAACAGUCUCAGAGUCAGCUUGGGUAGGUGCCACUGGAAUCAAUUGAGAAGAAUCCCCUAGAUUAAUGAGUACAGGAUCAGGAGCACUCUGCGAACCCUCCUCCUCAGACCGCAGAAAUGCAUCAAGGGACGGCUCCCCCAAUCUCUCGGAGCAUGAAGCCAGCCGAAUGAGGGACGACUCUCUCUCAAACUGAUAUAAUUCUAUAACAGAUAGAGAUACCUGGCCACUUAGAUCAUUCUCUUCGUUAAUGUGCUCAGCUUGAGGUAGUUCAUUAAGUGGCAUAGAAAAACACUGAACUGAAGACACCUCUUCCUUUAAUAUUAGCUGAAGGUUAUGCUGCUGAUUAGGAGAGUCUUCAGUGUUUUGUUCAGGUACAAGUGUGGCAGUUUGUAUUUCCUCUUGCAGCAGGGAAAUUGUCCUACCAGGGCUUGUAAUUUGAAGAACGGGGUUAGACUUGCCUAUAACUGUAAAUAGUUAAGGCAGGAUCGUGCAGCCACCACAGAAUAUAGGUGGGACACAGAUACAAAGUACAAUUGAUAGUCCUUAGGCAAAAGUAAAGUCCUUAGGCAGGAUCGUGCAGCCACCACAGAAUAAGUGAGGCAUGGAUCCUAAACCACCAAACAUUAAAUAAAAAACACCAAGGAGCAAAGCCCAAAGCAGGUCACACGUAAAUAAGGCAGCAAGGUCAGAAUCACUGGAAAUUAAGUAUAGGCAGGAACACUGCAAGCGAACACUGGAACGGGAGGCACAGGACACAGGACCAGGCAGAGACGAGAACGCAGGACCAUAAGGACAUCGGAACAGGAACACAGGAUCAGGAUACACAGGAUACAAGACACAGGAGUAAGGAGUCAGAAUCACGGGGAACAGGAACCAGCAGACACAAGAUAAAGGAUAAUGAUCUGACAGGGAGUGAGGGGAGAAACCAAAAUAUAUAGGUGCUAAACAAGGGCCAGGUGUAGUGCUUAAAGGAACACUAUAGUCACCUAAAUUACUUUAGCUAAAUAAAGCAGUUUUAGUGUAUAGAUCAUUCCCCUGUAAUUUCACUGCUCAAUUCACUGUCAUUUAGGAGUUAAAUCACUUUGUUUCUGUUUAUGCAGCCCUAGCCACACCUCCCCUGGCUAUGAUUGACAGAGCCUGCAUGAAAAAAAAAACUGGUUUCACUUUCAAACAGAUGUAAUUUACCUUAAAUAAUUGUAUCUCAAUCUCUAAACUGAACUUUAAUCACAUACAGGAGGCUCUUGCAGGGUCUAGCAAGCUAUUAACAUAGCAGGGGGUAAGAAAAUCUUAAUUAAACAGAACUUGCAAUAAAGAAAGCCUAAAUAGGGCACUCUUUACAGGAAGUGUUUAUGGAAGGCUGUGCAAGUCACAUGCAGGGAGGUGUGACUAGGGUUCAGAAACAAAGGGAUUUAACUCCUAAAUGGCAGAGGAUUGAGCAGUGAGGCUGCAGGGGCAUGUUCUAUACACCAAAACUGCUUCAUUAAGCUAAAGUUGUUCAGGUGACUACAGUGUCCCUUUAACGAAAAGAAAUGAGAAACAGUGCCAAACAGAAACAGUGGUGAGUGUGAGUACUGCACGAGGGCAUAUUAACUAAGGAGUGUCGUGACAGUCAUGCAUAUCAACAAUUGUAGAAGCAUUUUUUGCUCCAACAAAAGUUCCCUUUAGCAAAGAUGUUGGACAGCACUGCUGAGGGGUAAUAAUUGGUUUAGAGGUAUACAGCUGAAGAAAUAAGGUAAGGUGUUCAUAUAAGUAGGUAAUUAGGCAUCUACACCAAGGGUUGCCACAAAGGUAGAUCCCCAGAUGUUGCAGAACUACAACUCCCAUGAUGCUUUGCAUGCCUUUAGAAUGACAAAGAAUCAUGGAAGCUGUAGUUUUAAAACAUCUGCGGACCUACCUUUUGGGCACCCCUGAUCUACACUUUGCCUGCUCAAUGCUACAUAUGGGACUUAAGUGUUUUGACAUUAAAUUCCAUCUCUCAGGUUUGUUUCAUGCAUUAUUAUUCCAUUAAGAAACAUGUUGUGCUUGCCAAUAAAUACAUUUUUCUUGUGCGUUUUAAUAGACAGUAAUGUCCCUCUUCUUUCUGUUUAGAUACAUUAGCUGCCCUUCUGUGCUUUCUACUUUCCUGAAAUCUUUCCUAAUUUAUUUUUUCUCCUCUGUUCUGCCCUACAAUGACCUGGGAUUUCUAGGAGCAAGAACAUGGAAGGAGAGUAAAUGAAGCUUUCUGGAUGGUCUGUCUGCUACAGUAACAUGGACUAUCACCCCAUCUUGCACUGCUAUAAUUGUCUAUGCUUCCUUUAAUAAACACCCGGAUGGAAAUAAAACGUACAAAAGGCAGUUAGUCUAGACUCUGGAGUACCAUGUAAAUUAACCAACACUGAUCAUUCCUACAGUGACAAGGCAAUAGAGAGAAACAAAGGUGUAAAUGAUGUUUGUGCCCAUCUAACAGUCAACAGUGAAAGUCAAAGUGAGAUUACUAUAAAGCAG